rnacentral:lncRNA from 1 species
CUUUGAUUUUCUACAAUCUUUUUUUUUUUAAGCUGCUCUGUGAAGUGAAUGUUUAUAAAGCAUGGACAAAGAACAACUCCAUGGAUGAUGCCAAAAAUCUCAACUAUGUGAUAAAGGAAUGACUGAGUUAUCACCCUUCAAGAGCACCGUCUAUAUUUUCACAGGAAUAUGUAGACAAAUAUGUUGGCUAUGUGUACAAACCAAAGUUGAGAAUUCAUCAUGGAAUUCCCUAAGCUGAAGAAGUUCAGAGAAACAGGUGACAAUCAGGAAAGGAAAGAAAAUCUACUGCACACAACAAUAAGCUCCACAAAUUAUACAGAGGAAUCUGCUGAGAACCAUCAAACUUAAGAAUAUUAGGCCUACUCAAUAUGCUACACAGACUUGGACAAGCCUUUACUGAUACCUUUCAAAGAAAGCUACAAAAGAGCCUCUAAUGGAUUGAUGAGGUGAUGCUGAUUCUUAGUACAGCUGUCCCCCAUCUAAGAGGAACUGUUCCAUGACCCCCUGGAGGAUGACUGUAACUGAGGAGAAUACUAAACACGAUAUAUAUUAUGAUUUUCCCAUCUAUGCAUACUUGUGAUAAAGUUUUAUUUUCAAAUUAAGCACCCUUUUGGUCAUGUUUUUCCCUUAUGUAUUUAAUAUCCUUUCCUUCUUAAUUAAGCACUUAUAACACAAUGUAGUUGUAGGUUUUUUGGUCUGAGGUACAAUUGCAAAACCAGUGUAAGCUUCUUUUUUCCUUCUUCACAAUUUCAUGGACAGAUCUGUUUUUGCUGUAGAUCUCAGCAACCUCAGCAAAGGCUGUUUCUUUUCUCUCUCUUUUUUUUCAAAUUAAGUUAAGAACUAUCACCUUUUCAGUUAAAUGAAGAAUUUUAAAAUUUCUUUGCCAUAUCCUGACAAUAUCACUACUCCUGCACUUUAGGACUUUGAUUAUAUAAAGGAUCUGUGAGCACAAGCACUGCAAUAUUUUAGCUGAUCUGAUAACAAAGAUGGCUAAGUGACUAACAGGGAGA